rnacentral:tRNA from 1 species
GCCUGGGUGGCUUAGUCGGUUAAGCGUCUGACUUGGGCUCAGGUCAUGACCUUGCGGUUCGUGGGUUCGAACCCCACAUCAGGCC